UAAAAAGUGGUGCAAAUUACUAAAAUUAAUUUUCAAAUGUUAGAUUUUUUAGAUUUUUUUCAUAGAAAUCUUAGAGAUAAUUCUAUUUAAACCUGAGUCAUUAGUUUAAUUAUUUAUUAGUUAAACAGAGCAUGUGUUUAACCUAACCUAUGGACCCAUCUCGUUUAAGCUGUAAACCCUAAGAUUAGGGUGUCAAUUGCCUCUGUAGUUAACAUUUUAUUUAGUGAUAGGCUGCGGAUCGCGGGGCCCUGUGCCACUACACAGCUUAAACCACCUUCAAGCAGGUCCUGGAGACGAUAGAAAGUUAAAUUGACUAUACAAACAUAUGCAUUAGUAUGUUGAUUUUGAGUUGUUCAUGUAACUCAAGAAUAUUGCUCUACUCCACUAUACCUUAAAGUGGAUAAACAUAUAUGCCAACAUUAAUGUUGAACAUUACCAAUGUCUCAAAAAAUAUGAAGGGAGAUUCAUAAAAAAGUAAGUGUUCUGCGGUAUUUAACAUUGAUUCAAAAUCACAAAACCUGAUACACGACAUUUCCAAAGAGACCGACGAUUAUAUUAUGAAAAAAAGAUAUUGACAGACAAAAAAAAGAAAACUUUUAACAGCAUACAACGCCAGUGCCCAGUUGUCAAAGCAAAUGAGUAUGGUGACGAUAAGGUUCAGUUGUCUGAUGUCUCUACAGACAUACACGGUGGUGGAUGAAUAAAUAAAAAAACUAGAUGCACAUUUAACGUGGUUCGACGCCAAAAACCAAGAUAAUGCCACUAACUAUUAAGUAUUAGUUACUAACUCUAUAGAACUAUAGAGGGAGGUACACAAAAAAAAAUACUUAAUAAGACUGAGAACAAUAAAAUUAAAAAGAAACAAUUAGAUAAAGGUUUGUGGUCGACAUAAUUUUUAUGUCUUCUAAGUAGAUUUAUUGUAUUAUAAAUUAAAAUCGCCAACAUUUUUCAGGAGGUAAAAAAACAAGUGCUACAGCUUAAAAAACAUUAUUGGAUAGUGGUGACAAUAUUCCUAUAAAUUUUCCUUAAAGCGGAAUGGCCGGUGUACUGGUUGGCAAAUAUGAAGUAUGAUAUUAUGAAAAACAACAUAUAGCAAAAAUUUAUAGAAUUUAAUAUACUAAAUGAUAAGCAUAUAAGCAUACAAAUCAAAAUAAAUCU